UGACAGAACUGACGAUCGUAC
rnacentral:misc_RNA from 1 species